GCGAAGCUGAUCCAGCCAUGCCGCGUGAAUGAUGAAGGCCUUAGGGUUGUAAAAUUCUUUCAGCAGGGAAGAUAAUGACGGUACCUGCAGAAGAAGCCCCGGCUAACUCCGUGCCAGCAGCCGCGGUAAUACGGAGGGGGCUAGCGUUGUUCGGAAUUACUGGGCGUAAAGCGCUCGUAGGCGGAUUGGUCAGUCAGGGGUGAAAGCCCGGAGCUCAACUCCGGAACUGCCUUUGAUACUGCCAGUCUUGAGUUCGGGAGAGGUGAGCGGAAUACCGAGUGUAGAGGUGAAAUUCGUAGAUAUUCGGUGGAACACCAGAGGCGAAGGCGGCUCACUGGACCGAUACUGACGCUGAGGAGCGAAAGCGUGGGGAGCAAACAGGAUUAGAUACCCUGGUAGUCCACGCCGUAAACGAUGAGAGCUAGUUGUCUGGCAGCAUGCUGUUAGGUGACGCAGCUAACGCAUUAAGCUCUCCGCCUGGGGAGUACGGCCGCAAGGUUAAAACUCAAAUG
rnacentral:rRNA from 1 species